rnacentral:misc_RNA from 1 species
GAAAAUCGACAAAUUUUCCCAACACUGGUGAUAACAUCCAGCCUCAGUGCACACACUUCAGUUAUUCCAAAAAAAUGGCGGAUGUCGACUUGAAUAUCGACAGCUUGAUAGAAAGAUUACUUGAAGUGCGAGGAUGUCGUCCUGGAAAAUCAGUUAUAAUGACAGAAGCAGAAGUACGUGGUUUAUGUUUAAAAAGUCGUGAAAUUUUUUUACAACAACCAAUACUACUUGAGCUUGAAGCACCAUUAAAAAUAUGUGGUGAUAUACAUGGACAAUACACUGAUUUAUUGAGAUUAUUUGAGUAUGGUGGUUUUCCACCAGAAUCAAAUUAUUUAUUUCUCGGUGAUUAUGUUGACAGAGGAAAACAAUCACUUGAAACAAUAUGUCUAUUGCUUGCAUAUAAAAUUAAAUAUCCAGAAAAUUUUUUUUUACUACGUGGUAAUCAUGAAUGUGCAAGUAUCAAUAGAAUAUAUGGUUUUUAUGAUGAAUGUAAACGCAGAUAUAAUAUUAAAUUAUGGAAAACAUUUACUGAUUGUUUCAAUUGUCUACCAAUUGCUGCAAUUAUUGAUGAAAAAAUUUUUUGUUGUCAUGGUGGUCUAAGUCCAGAUUUACAGGGAAUGGAACAAAUAAGAAGAAUUAUGAGACCAACUGAUGUACCAGAUACUGGAUUACUUUGUGAUCUUUUAUGGUCUGAUCCUGAUAAAGAUGUUCAGGGCUGGGGAGAAAAUGAUAGAGGUGUAUCAUUCACAUUUGGUCCAGAUGUUGUAUCAAAAUUUUUAAAUCGUCAUGAUAUGGAUUUAAUAUGCCGAGCUCAUCAAGUUGUUGAAGAUGGAUAUGAAUUUUUUGCAAAACGACAACUUGUUACAUUAUUUUCAGCACCAAAUUAUUGUGGUGAAUUUGAUAAUGCUGGUGGUAUGAUGAGUGUUGAUGAAAAUCUCAUGUGCAGUUUUCAGAUUCUUAAACCAUCUGAGAAAAAAGCCAAGUAUCAGUAUGGUGGUAUGACUGGUGUACAAACAAGUAGACCAGCAACACCACAAAAAAAUUCAAGCAAUAAAAAAACCAAAAAAUGAUCAUCGUAUACAACUGAUUCUGCAUAGCAAUCAACACUAAUGUCAUUCUAGUUGUGGAACGUCAGAGAAUCCAGUAUCGUUCAUAACGUCAAAUAUAUAUUUUAAAAAAAAAUUACCUCUUCCGUAAAUUUUAAAUACAAAAAAAAGAUGAAACUCAUGAUAAUUUAGUCGAAAAGAAACAUUGUUAAUUUAAUUAUCUGAGCUGUUGCUUUUUUUUCCUUGUUUUUUUAUAAUAAUUUUUUCAUUUUGUAUUCAACUUUUCGAGAUUUUAGUUGAAUACUGAAUUUUUGUUUUUGAAUAAUCACUGGGUAUAUAACACGUACUUCCAUCUUAUAUAAAAAAAAAAAAAAAACAAAUGAAAUAUUUAUUCUGUAAUGUGCAUUUCGUAAAUGUGCUUUAUUUAUUCUUUAUUAUUAUUAUUAUUACAUUAGAUUUAAAUAUAACUAUCCAAUUAAAAAAAAAUCAAUUGUUUGUUUUUUUUUUUUUCUUUUUUUGUCAUCUUGUGCUUAAUUUUCUUUGUCAUUCAUCAUUUAACUUGGUUUUUUUUCUUUUUUUUUUUUGUUUAUUUAUGAUUAUUUUUUAUUACGUCCUGGUGAUGAUGAUAUUGUUCAUUCAAGUUUGGGUCAUACCCAGUUAUUUAAUUUUGUGCUAUUUUCAGCAAAAUUGCAUUUUCUUUUUUUGUUUACUUAAUUUUUUUAUCGAAACACCGACGUGCAUAUGCGAAUUUAACCGAAUGAAUGAAGAUAUUAUA